UGUUGCAGUUGAAAAUGUAUUGGUCAUGGGUUGCAGGUUUUUGGGCUAUUUCUAACAUGCUGACUAGACCGGGGCAUUGCGCGCAUGUUGAUUUUGUCCAUCCACACCAGACGCGAUCAGGACACACAGGUUGAAAUAUCAGAACGAACAUGUAAUGGAUUACAAAAAAUAACUGUAAACCGUUACAAUACCAGCAAAAAAAAAUGUUUUAAGUAGAUAAUUACUUCUAGGAUUACUUUCAAAUUUAGAAGGGAUAUUUUCAGAAUAUUUUUUUUCCUUUCAUAUUAACGUCAAUCAUAUAAUUAACUGAAAAAGUACCUCUUUGAUCUUACCGUCUGAGCAACAUACACAGUCACAAAGGAAAAGGGUAUGGCGCGCCAAUGCAGCGCAUUACCCCAACCCCAUGCAGUACAUUUUUUUGGAUGGCAUUUUCAAAGAACAGUGUGUUCAGAGAAGAAAGGGGCAGUAAUGUAACAGUUCAAUGCAAACUAUGUUUUCCCACGGUAAAGCUGCUGUCGAUAUCCAGAGACUCGACUUCGAACCUGAAGAAACACUUGGAUGUAAGGAUUACGAUUGGGAGAGGAUGCAUAACAAUCAAUGGAAGACCCUGAGCAGGAAAAGGCAACCAGAUGACAUGGAGGAGUGGAGAGAUGCACAGCCAUCUGCAGAUGGCCAAAAAGGGACAUCUUGUACACCAUUGAAACAAGCAAAACUAUAACUAGAAGAACCACACACCUAACAAAGCCAGGUUAAUCACUGGGUAUUUGACUUCAUCAUAGAGGAUGUGCAACCCUUUUCACUAGUAGAGGUGCCUUCAUUCCCCCAAGCUAGUAGAAGGAAUCAGUGGUGGGAGAAAAGUUAUGUGUAGAAAGACUUUGAUGCAUCGGAUAGAAAAGGAAUUUGAGUCCAUGAAAGAAGCUCUCUCCACCAAACUCCAGAGCAUAAAGUCAGUCUGCACCACAGCAGCAGUGGUGUAAAGUAAAAAUUCUUUAAAGUACUACUUAAGUACUACAUUUUAACAAUUCCAUUUACUUUUUAUACUUAAGUAUAUUUAAAACCAAAUACUUUUAGACUUUUACUCAAGUAGUAUUUUACUGGGUCACUUUUACUUGAGUCAUUUUCUAUGAAGGUAUCUUUACUUUUUCUCAAGUAUGACAAUUGAGUACAUUUUCCACCCCUGCACAGCAGACAUCUGGUCUGCCCAUAACAGAUGCUUCUUCAGCCUGACAUGCCACUGGAUCGAGGAGGACACCUUGGAGAGGGAGUCAGCUGCUUUCGCUUGUGCAAGACUGAGAGGACGUCAUACCUACAGUAUGAUGUGAUUACUGCCAAGUUAAGUGAAAUACAUGAAGACUUUAAAAUUCAGCACAAAGUGAGGGCCAUGUCUGAUAUGUGGGUUUAUUGCACCUAGCUGCACUUUUUGUUUUCUUAAACAACUAAAAAAACUACUUGGUGGACUAAAUGUGUGAUUACACUGUAAAAAUGUUUUCUUCAUAUUUUCUAUUAUAUUCUAUAUUAUAUUCUAUUUUAUAUUAUCUCUCAUUUUAGUUAUUCAGCAGACACUCUUAUCCAGAGCGACUUACAGUAGUGAGUGCAUACAUUUUCAUACUUUUUUGUACUGGUGUCCCGUGGGAUAAGUGUUUAGUACCUAUUUUCACUUUGGAAAAAAUCGUGCCCAAAUUAAACUGCCUCGUACUCUAUUCUAGAUCAUACAAUAUGCAUAUUAUUAUUACUAUUGGAUAGAAAACACUCUCAAGUUUCUAAAACUGUUUGAAUUAUAUCUGUGAGUAAAACAGAACUAAUUUUGCAGCAAACUUCCAUACAGGAAGUGAAAAAUCUGAAAACGAGGCUCUGUUCCAGGGCCUGCCUAUUCAACUGGCUUAUAUUUAUCGAUAUACAUGCACUUCAUACGCCUUCCACUAGAUGUCAACAGGCAGUGGAAGGUGGAAUGGGGUGUCUAGCUUGAUCUGAGGUCGAACAAGAGCUUUUGGAGUGGCAGGUCAGGAAUUUCCUUUCUCUACCUAGGCGCGCGAAGCACCUCCACAUUGUCUUCUGAUAAGCGUUCGGUAUACACGGCUAAUAUCUCCGGCUCUGAUUUUAUUUGAUACAUGUGAUAAUAACUUCGUAAAGUAUGUUUUUUCAACCGAGUUUUAUCAGAUUAUUUAACGUUUAUUGGGACUUUUGGAGUUUUCCGUUCUUUGCGUCGAGAGAAACUGGGAACGUCAUCAACAUUGGCUAGCAUUGUGGCGCGAAUUCGACAGGAGAAAAGGACAUUCUAAAACCAAACAACGAUUUAUUCUGGAAAUAGGACUCCUUGUACAAGAUUCUGAUGGAAGCUCAGCAAAAGUAAGAACAAGUUAUGAUGUUAUUUCGUAUUUCUGUGGGAAAUGUUAUUUCUAUUCUCCGCCGUUUUGGCGGCCGCAGUCUCGCAAUAAUGCAAGCUGUUUGUUAUGGUAAAGUUAUUUUUAAAAAUCUAACACGGCGGUUGCAUUAAGAACCAGUGUGUCUUUUAUUUGCCAUACAACAAGUAUUUUUUUGUAAAGUUUAUGAUGAGUUCUUUGGUCAGAUUAGGUGAGUGUCCAAAAUAGCUCCUGACAUUCUGGGGAAAUGUUGCUACAUUUUCACAAUGUAUAACCACGGUUUGCAGCUCUAAAUAUACACAUUUGCGAACAAAACAUAGGUGUAUUGUAUAACCUGAUGUUAGAAGACUGUCAUCUGAUGAAGUUGUUCAAGGUUAGUGAUUAAUUUGAUAGCAUUCGCAAAAAAACAGCAAAAGAUAUCUAUGCGGUGAAUAAAUGCGGUUGUGUGUUUGGCUAUUGUGGUAAGCUAAUAUAAUGCUAUAUUGUGUUUUCGCUGUAAAACACUUUAAAAAAAUCGGAAAUAUUGGCUGGAUUCACAAGAUGUUUAUCUUUCAUUUGCUGUACACCAUGUAUUUUUCAUAAAUGUUUUAUGAUGAGUAUUUAGGUAUUUCACGUUGCUCUCUGUAAUUAUUCUGGCUGCUUUGGUGAUAUUUUUGAUGGUAGCUGCAAUGUAAAACUAUGAUUUAUACCUCAAAUAUGCACAUUUUCGAACAAAACAUAAAUUUAUUGUAUAACAUGUUAUAAGACUGUCAUCUGAUGAAGUUGUUUCUUGGUUAGUGACUAAUUAUAUGUCUAUUUGGUCGGUUUUGUGAUAGCUACCUAUGCGGUAGAAACAUGGUGAAAAUAUGCGGUUGAGUCUUUGGCUAUUGUGGUUAGCUAAUAGAAAUACAUAUUGUGUUUUCGCUGUAAAACAUUUUAAAAAUCGGAAAUGAUGGCUGGAUUCACAAGAUGUUUAUCUUUCAUUUUCUGUAUUGGACUUGUGAUUUCAUGAAAAUUAUAUUAUAUGAUAUCCCUGUCCCGUUAGGCUAGGCUAUGCUAGUCAGCUUUUUUGAUGAGGAUGCUCUCGGAUCCGGGAUGGAUAUUAAGUAAAGGUAAAGCCCUUACUUAUACCUGUUUUUAACAUGUAUCCUUUGUCCUGCACAUUGUGUUUUAGCCCACAUUUUUCAAUAGGUGUACAUGAUUAAAAGACGCAUUGGGGUCUGACUGUGAUCAGAUCUUAUAGGUGUAAAUGGACAAGAUCAGGAUGCAGGACACAUGUUAGAAGCAGGUAUACAGGGCUUAAAUCAAACCAAAUCAAAUUUUAUUUGUCACAUACACAUGGUUAGCAGAUGUUAAUGCGAGUGUAGCGAAAUGCUUGUGCUUCUAGUUCCGACCAUGCAGUAAUAUCUAACAAGUAAUCUAACAAUUUCACAACAACUACCUUAUACACACAAGUGUAAAGGAAUGAAUAAGAAUAUGUACAAAAAAAUAUAUGGAUUAGCAAUGGCCGACUACAUUUUUAAGUGGUUGUAGAAUCGAACGGCUCUUUUCUGGAUUUUGAUUAUUAGCAGGUAUCGGCCUAAUUCUGCUCUGCAUGCAUUAUUUGGUGUUUUACGAUGUACACUGAGGAUAUUUUUUGCAGAAUUCUGCAUGCAGUCUCAAUUUGGUGUUUGUUCCAUUUUGUGAAUUAUUGGUUAGGGAGCGGACCGCAGACCUCACAACCAUAAAGGGCAAUGGGUGUCACAUCUGCUCCCCGUACCUGCUUCGUCUCUCCAGCGUCAUUCCAUGUGACAAUGGGUUCUAUAACUGAUUGAAGUAUUUUGGAGCUGAUGUUUAGGUCGAGGUAUGUGUUUUUUAUUGUUUUUUAUUAUUAUUUUAUUUAACCAGGCUAGUCAGUUAAGAAAAAAAACUUAUUUUCAAUGACGGCCUAGGAACAGUGGGUUAACUGCCUGUUCGGGGGGCAGAACGACAGAUUUGUACCUUGUCAGCUCAGGGAUUUGAACUUGCAACCUUUCGGUUACUAGUCCAAUGCUCUAACCACUAAGCUACCCUGCCACCCCGUAUACAUAUAUAUAUUUGUUUCUUCUUUUGUCUAGAUAGAAUUUGUAUUCUUGGUCCUGGCAACUGGACUUUUUUUGGAACACCAUUAUUUUUGUUUUACUGAGAUGUACUGUUAGGGCCCAGGUCUGACAGAAUCUGUGCAGAAGAUCUAGGUGCUGCUGUAUGCCCUCCUUGGUUGGGGACAGAAGCACCAGAUCAUCAGCAAACAGUAGACAUUUGACUUCAGAUUCUAGUAGGGUGAGGCCGGGUGCUGCAGACUGUUCUAGUGCCCUCGCCAAUUCAUUGAUAUUUUAAAUGUUGAAGAGGGUGGGGCUUAAGCUGCAUCCCUGUCUCACCCCCCAGCCCUGUGGAAAGAAAUGCGUGUUUUUCGACAAUUUUAACAGCACACUUGUUGGUUGUGUACAUGGAUUUUAUAAUGUUGUAUGUUUUUUCCUCAACACCACUUUCCAUCAAUUUGUAUAGCAGACCCUCAAGCCAAAUUGAGUCUAAAGAUUUUUUGAAUCAACAAAGCAUGAGAAGACUUUGCCUUUGUUUUGGCUUGUUUGUAAAUUAGGGUGUGCAGAGUGAAUACGUGGUCUGUCGUACGGUAAUUUGGUAAAAAGCCAAUUUGACAUUUGCUCAGUACAUUGUUUUCGCUGAGGAAACGUACGAGCCUGCUGUUAAUGAUAAUGCAGAGAAUUUUCCCAAGGUUGCUGUUAACGCAUAUCUCCGGUCGUUAUUGGGGUCAAAUUUGUCUCCACUUUUGUAGAUUGGGGUGAUCAAUCCUUGGUUCCAAAUAUUUGGGAAGAUGAACUGAGGAUGACGUUAAAAAGUUUAAAUAUAGCCAAUUGGAAUUUGUGGUCUAUUUAUUUGAUCAUUUAAUUUAGGAUACCAUCACCCCACAGACCUUUUUGUGUUGGAGGGUUUGUAUUUUGUCCUGUAGUUCAUUCAAUGUAAUUGGAGAAUCCCGUGGGGUCUGGUAGUCUUUAAUAGUUUCUUCUAAUAUGCCCACAUUUUUGUUUUUGCCUUAGCACUGCACAGCUGGAUCAAAUUAUCAACUCAUCAUCAAGCUUCAAGUGAAACCUUGUAACUGGAGAUUCCUUCAAAACGAUUGCCUACAGUUAACGUGUAGGGCACUGCAAGGCCAUCUGGGACUGCCUCAUGGAGGAAUUCAGGUGUGUGAAGGCUACCUGUGUCCUGCAUAACUUCAUGAGGAUGGACACGAGGACCAGGAGGGGAUCUGCAGCUCGCCACCGUGUGCCAGAGGAGAAGUCUGCUGCUCUGCAGGAUGUUUCAAGGAUGGGGUCCAACAACGCAGCAAGAGGCAAUCUGUGUACGGGAGAUCUUCACCUCCUACUUCUUAGAAGAGGGUGCUGUUCACUGGUGACACCAUAGACUAUAGACACAACCUGGUGACACCAUAGACUAUGCACAACCAAAGGCUAUUUUAAGAGCCAUUUACAUUGCAAUUAGAGUAUUCUUCCAUUUACUUAGCUAUGUCAACUGCAGUUAUUCAAUUCCCAGUUUCUCGCCCUUUGAUUUCUACUUCUCAGGUGAGGGUGCUGUUUAGGUAAGGGUGUGAUGUCUGUACAAAAACAAAACAGGCUAUUUUAAAUCACCCAUAUUGAAGAAAAAUGUAGGACAAUUAGACACCAUAUAACCCACACCUACAUACUCAUGUAUCAAUCUGAUUGAUGGAUUGUGUUGUGCAGUAAGCAGGCUCAGGUGUAUAACUGUAGCUCCUUCCACCUUCAAGGAAUAGGCAAGAGGGCCAACCAUGGAGAAUAGUAAGACACUUCAUUAUUUCUAUAACUAGGCUAUAUUGUUUGUCUUGGUGUGCCCGUUCAUGUUUCCCAGCAUAAAGUACUAUGCAGCCACUUAGUGUGGUGUGGACACCAGGUGAGGCCACACACACAGAUUCCUGUUAGAACACUGUCUCUUUAACUACCUUAUUUUCUCAAUAACAGUAUCUCUCCUUCACUUCAUCCCUUGCCUCAUCUCCCUAAAUUCUCUAGGUUAUAUCAGCUAUGUCGGUGAACCCCUCCCGCAUCUGAACCGGCUACAUAGAGGGCACAGCAUGAUCAGAGAUAUGUUUUGAUGAGAGAGAGGAUGCCAACCCCCAGUCCCAUCAUCGCCACCUCACCCACUCUUAAGAUAACCUCCGGGCCGACUAGAGACACUAUUAUGUAAUUGUGAUGAACUGAGAGAAUAUUUGGGUAACACUGAAUGUAAAAAAUAAAAACUGGCUGUUGUUGACAA